rnacentral:rRNA from 1 species
CCUACGGGAGGCAGCAGUGGGGAAUUUUGGACAAUGGGGGCAACCCUGAUCCAGCCAUGCCGCGUGCGGGAAGAAGGCCUUCGGGUUGUAAACCGCUUUUGUCCGGGAAGAAAAGAUCUCUCCUAAUACGGGAGGUUCUUGACGGUACUGGAAGAAUAAGCACCGGCUAACUACGUGCCAGCAGCCGCGGUAAUACGUAGGGUGCGAGCGUUAAUCGGAAUUAUUGGGCGUAAAGCGCGCGCAGGCGGUCCUUUAAGUCUGAUGUGAAAGCCCACGGCUCAACCGUGGAGGGUCAUUGGAAACUGGGGGACUUGAGUGCAGAAGAGGAAAGCGGAAUUCCACGUGUAGCGGUGAAAUGCGUAGAGAUGUGGAGGAACACCAGUGGCGAAGGCGGCUUUCUGGUCUGUAACUGACGCUGAGGCGCGAAAGCGUGGGGAGCAAACAGGAUUAGAUACCCUGGUAGUCCACGCCGUAAACGAUGAGUGCUAAGUGUUAGGGGGUUUCCGCCCCUUAGUGCUGCAGCUAACGCAUUAAGCACUCCGCCUGGGGAGUACGGCCGCAAGGCUGAAACUCAAAGGAAUUGACGG